ensembl:lncRNA
CCUCAUUGUUGCUCAUGAUCACAACACCUAUAACUGCUGCAGAAGUAGCAUCUUGGGUUGACACACAGAAAACUCCACUGACCCCCAGCACAGGCUGCAGCUAUUUCCUCCCCUCUAUCUUGGGUUAAGUCCACUGGAUAGAAGCAAAAGCUCAGAGUUCCUUGGCCCUGUUCUGUCCCUUUCUUUCUUUUUUCUUUUUUUUCCAAAUGCAUUAUGCUUGCUCAGAAGGAAAGUGCUAUCCUGCUUUUCCUUUUUGUAAGUUCUUUUUCUUCCUAAUCUUCAAGACAAAGAUGUCCUAUAUUUGUUUUCUAAACAAUUUUCCAGUUUCUUAUGUCUUUCUUCUCUCAUCAAAAUAUGAUGUUUUGAAGUUUUCUGGGCAGGGGAAGUGAAACUGCUUUUUGCCAGUGGAUCAAUUUUAUUCUCCAUCAAAGAAGUUUUUCAGCCUUUUGACAGACAACAAAGCUGCACUUUCCAGAACAAAACAUAUUCCACAGUGGAGGCAAAUUUAAAAGGCAAGUGAUAAAAGCAAUGCUCAGAGGGGCUGUGGAAGAUUCACAAUCAGCAAGGCAGAAGAAAAAGGUUUAACUCAAAAGCACAACAUAUUGCCACUGAAGAACUCAACCAACCUUGAUCAGAAGCAGCUGACAGAAAAAAGAGAUGGGAAUGUUCUAGAGUCUCCUCUCCAUGUCUCCCCAGAACAGAAACCCAUGUGAACAAGAAACAAUACACUACACAGACUAGAAGAUUUUUCAGUCUUCCAGCGUUUGGCUAACAUUUAAUGGUGUGGAGUGUCCUUCAAUAUGCUACAGGAGAGCUCAACUGAUGUAAAGCAUAACUGGUCUAAACAAAGCACCUACUUAACAAAGAGCCCAUGGCUAGGAAGAAGGAGAGCCCUUCUUUGUUAUGUCAGUCCGCAGCAAUUAAACAAGGAUAAAUGUUCUGAGUCUUAGCUGGGUUUACAAAGAGUAACCAAGCCAGUAGAAGAGAAGACUAGGAAACAUCAGUCAAAAAUUCCUCAAAAUGACCUAAAGUCUGGAAGUUUUGUUUCCUACUGCAUGUACUUGUAGCUGCCAUGUGUGCUGCACAGAGGAAAAUGCAUGUGUUGAACACUCAUUUAAUGGAUGAAGCACACAUUCUUUUCACGAAGUUUAAGAGGUAAUCCAACAUGGGGUGACAAUACCUACAGAACUGCUCGUGUACAGGGGAACAUCUGGAAGGCAAAAACCAAUAAAUACCUGUAGUUUGCAGCAAACAUUACCUGAAGAGAGCCAAUCAUAUGAACGUUUAUGUGUGUAAAGCACUGAACAUGUGCCAUAAUUAUGUGCUCGGUGAUCCUUUCCUAAUUUACAAUUAAGAUAUAUAAAAAUGAAGACUGAAAUAUGGAGACAACAACCACAAUGGAAACAGAAAAUACAUAGUGUGAAGGGAAAGUCUCCAGGCAUGUAGGAAUGCCAUUUGAUAUCCUCACUGCAAGACAAGCUGCACAUUUCCUUGUAUAACCAAGCCAAAGGGAAUAAACUGCAACGGGGAAAUAUUGCUAUAUCAACAAAUUUUGCUGGCAAUGAGAGUCUGUAAGUGAUCAUUUCUGUUUGAGUUGCACAAUAUGGCUGUCUCCAGCAGUUCCAAGAUUUUUGUCUUUGUUUUGCCCAAAAAAUGAAGAGCAUUAUAAUUCAGGACAUUGAGAAGGGUCAUCCUGCUGUAUUUUAAUUAAGAAACGCGAAACAGUUACACAUUAUGAAUAAAACAUCUCCAAUGUAGAGGUCCAGGACCCUAAUAAAAAUGUUUGACAAUCUUCUUACUAAUGACAGCAUUUCCUCCAAAACAAGUAAAUGCCAAUAGGACAAAAUCAUAGAGGCUGUAAAUAGCAUCUGGCAUUGCAUAUGAUAAUACAAGGCAAGGCAUGUUACACAAAUAAAAAAGGAACAUAGCAGAAAUACAUUUAUAAAGAGAAAAGAUAAUCAGCUGAACAGGCUAAAACUGAUGUAAACUGAAGAUGUUGUGCUAAAUAGGAGGAAAGGAAGUCACAGGAAGAACCAGAGCUUGACUGGCUGAUGCAGAAUUUUGUGGAUGAAGCAAGAUCCAAAAUGCUUAACAAAAAGAGGAGAUGAGUUUGCUGCAGCAAAACUGUAUUCCUCUGUUAGGAGGCUGAUCACGUUUUGUGCUUCUGCACACAGACCAUUCAGAUGGGGAAAACUAGGAAGCAGAGGGAGAUGGAGGGAGACAAACACUAGGGAAUACAUGGAGACUUCAGCCUUUAACACUUGAAACUGUGAGCAGCAAUCACUGUGAUGCUGUGCAUAUGAUCUUUGUGGCACCAUUGUUAGUGUCAUCUUUGGCACUGCUCUCAUAGAAGGGUACGGGUAGUUCAGGACCACAACAACAAUGGAACAUACCUUGGUUGUGAGAUAACUCCACCACUGUGAGCACACCCUUCUGUUAGCAUCACUGCCAACCAGGUCCUUGAACUCCCACUGAUUCUCAUCUUAAAUCAGCUGUGCUGUGUUCAACAAAAUACACAGCAAUUGGAGAUUCUGGAAGAGAUUUAAUUCAGAUAUGCAUUUACAAAAUGUAGGUGUUUUGAAUGAACAAAGCAGAGCAUAAUAACAGCCCACAGCAGGAUGACAAGAAGCAUGACAGUUUAAAAUUGAGAGCAACAGACAGAACGAGCCCUGCAUUUUGAGCCAGGAAACAGUGGUAGAUGCAGGCAUAGCAGUGACUCGCAAGCAAAUUGCUUGAGCAGGAAGAGAACGUGGAAUUUUAACAAACACAUACAAACGAUAUCUAUUUACAGAUAUAAAUAAAAAUCCCUCAUCCAAGCUGACAGGAGUUCAGCAAUUACAACAGCAGUAUAGAACUUUGAAUACGCAUCCCAUGUUCUGAUAGGAGCCUAAGACAACAAAGAGCUGUCACCUGUGGGGGGAAAGGCAGCAGCUGAAUCCGAUCCAAAGAGCCAUGCAAACAUUUUGAAAAGUCUGUGAAAGCCACGGAGAUGAAAGUAAAAUAGUGCCUGUGUUGUAAAACAUGAUGCAUAUUCAGGAAAGCCCACAUACUGCAUGCCCUUUCAAGUGUGGCCUAUAAAGCUGAUGAGGUGGAUGCCAACUCUUCCUUGGCAGACUAGUUCCCUCUAUACAGCUGAGUCACAUUUAGCCACUUCAGUGAUAACAAAUCUGCAUAGGCCGGGCUGACCCCUACAGAGCCUGCCCAACCACAGGAAUUAGAUGAUCCUCUCCCUAGUGAGCCCAGAGUUGCUCUGCUAAUCCACAUCGACACGCACCCAUUAACAGCAGUAGUGUCAUGGGCUUGGAAGCAGAUAGCACAAACGAUGCUUGGAGACCAUGUAAAACUCACUGCCAUUUGGGAUGCCCUAGUGUAUCUUGCCUUGUGCCUUGCUGCUGAUCAGGAAGGGCUCAGAUCUCUUAUCCAAUCUACAAACUGCACAUGGAUGUCUAGAUGCCCUGAUGCACCUCAAAUGGCACCAAGACCGACAUUUUAGCAACUUACUUAAGCCCUAGAUCCUUUAUAAAAGUUCGUAUUGAUUUUUUCUCAGACUGUGACUCAGUUACCUAACCACAGAUGGCUGCUGCUGUUUGAAAUGACCUUUGCUGUUUAAGAUAUCCAUAAUCACGGAGAGAUCAAUACAGAACAGGAUCUACAGGAGACUCAAGCCUUUCUUACGCAACAGCAGUUGAACGUGAUGCAAGAUAUCCUACAGUGACUAAAGUGACAAGAUAUGUAGAUAUGUGGGCAAAAUAUCCUAUGUCUGAAUACUCAUACUGACACUUCUAAAGUCAUGCUCAAAUGCUGUUUGCUACCUUAACUGUAUACAUGAAGCUCAUUGCAUGAUCAGAGAUGGAAAGUGGAGAGGGGUGAAGAGUUUUUAAUGAUUUUAUUCCUUUUGGAUUGUGGCUUCAAAUAAAUAAAUAUCUUAAUUAACACGAGCAUUGAAAAACGAAACCUAUGUUCUUGGAUUCACUUUUUUUUUAAGUUUAUGAAGUAGUAGUUUUGUCUCACAUGUGAGACAUAAAAAAAAAGCUAAAAUGUGAAUGGAGGGCUAUAACGUGUAUUCUUCCAGCCUCUUAGAAAUUACUCAUUCUCCACAUGCUAGUGAAGAAUAAUGGAAUUUAAUGUGUCCAGUAAUUUGUCAUCUAGAGGCAAACUUCCUGUCUGCUGGUGUGAAGGGACUUUCAAACUAUUCUAUAUGUCUUAUUCAUAAAAUAAAACUUUC